rnacentral:rRNA from 1 species
UGGGGAAUAUUGCACAAUGGGCGGAAGCCUGAUGCAGCGACGCCGCGUGGGGGAUGACGGCCUUCGGGUUGUAAACCCCUUUCGCCCGGGACGAAGCGAGAGUGACGGUACCGGGAGAAGAAGCACCGGCCAACUACGUGCCAGCAGCCGCGGUAAUACGUAGGGUGCAAGCGUUGUCCGGAAUUAUUGGGCGUAAAGAGCUCGUAGGCGGUGUGUCGCGUCUGCCGUGAAAACCUGCGGCUUAACCGUGGGCGUGCGGUGGAUACGGGCACACUUGAGUUCGGUAGGGGAGACUGGAAUUCCUGGUGUAGCGGUGGAAUGCGCAGAUAUCAGGAGGAACACCAGUGGCGAAGGCGGGUCUCUGGGCCGAAACUGACGCUGAGGAGCGAAAGCGUGGGGAGCGAACAGG